AGCAGCCGCGGUAAUUCCAGCUCCAAUAGCGUAUAUUAAAGUUGUUGCAGUUAAAAAGCUCGUAGUUGAAUUUCGGGAUCAAUUAAUUGGUCGUGCCUAUGGUAUGUACUGAUUUUAUUGGUUUCUCCCUUCUGACGAACCAUGAUGUCAUUAAUUUGGUGUCGUGAAGAAUCAGGACUGUUACUUUAGAAAAAUUAGAGUAGUUUAAAGCAAGCUAACGCUUAGAAUACAUUAGCAUGGAAUAAUGAAAUAGGACGUUUGAUCCUAUUUUGUUGGUUUCUAGGAUCGACGUAAUGAUUAAUAGGGAUAGUUGGGGGCAUUAGUAUUCAAUUGUCAGAGGUGAAAUUCUUGGAUUUAUUGAAGACUAACUACUGCGAAAGCAUUUGCCAAGGAUGUUUUCAUUAAUCAAGAACGAAAGUUAGGGGAUCGAAGACGAUCAGAUACCGUCGU
rnacentral:rRNA from 1 species